rnacentral:rRNA from 1 species
AUUAGUAAGCGGAGGAAGAGAAAACAAAUGUGAUUCCCCCAGUAAUGGCGAAUGAAAAGGGAAUAGUCCAGCGUGAAGGCCAGCAUUCUCUUAACGAGAUGCUGUGCGAUGCCACGUCAAUAGUCGGGUGCUUGAGGCACAUUCACGCGCACUGUGGUGUGUGCUCUUUGAGCUUGCUCAAAGGGGAGCUAGUUACUAGGUCUUCUCAAAUGGAGCAUGAUUGGGUUCUCCAAUCAAUGUGCCAUAGAGGGUGAAAGUCCCGUGAUGUAACCGGCUUUGGAUGUGUCUUUGCCCUGUGUACUAUGCUCGAGUCAUGUUCCUCGACAGUGGAACAUAAAGCACCACGUAUGGUCGUGGUAAGACUAAAUACGACUGUGAGACCGAUAGGAGACAAGUAGCGUGAGCGAAAGUUGAAAAGGACUUUGAAGAGAGAGUUCAAAAGGACGUGAAACCGCCUUACAGGUAAAGAGAUGGACCCACGAAGUCGUCAUUGACAUGCGACAUCUUUGAGGGCGAUUCAAUCAUGUGGACUGCACCGUCUACAUGAUGCAAAUUGCUCGUCGGUGAUGUGCUGUCACUCUUGAGCUCGCGAAAGCGGGAAAGAGAGGACGAUGCUCUCGGAAAUUGAAUGAUUGGGGGAGAGAUGGGAGGGUGCUGCUUGUCUUUGCGGACGAGCGGUAUUCACUCGUCAUAAGGCGUCAAUUGUGGUGAGUGCUCACUCUCUUUUGGGAGAGUUGGGUAUGAUCUCAUUGUCGCUCUUUACUCCCUACCAAUGUAUCGAUUUCUUCCUCACAGGGAACGCGAUAGAUAUAAUCUAUUGUGAGAGUGGUACACCAUACUCACGUUCAUUAGGCUUGAGUUGAUGUGUGCGUGUAAUGAUCAUGAUUUUCAAAUGAUGAUCACUGAUCAAUACGCAUGCCACUUUUGUCCGAUGAUAUGAAUGACUCUGAGUACCGGUGAACUGGCUCAAGAGAGCAAGUAGGUUGGAUAUCCAUUUCUCCCGUCUUGAAACACGGACCAAGGAGUCUAACAUGUGCGCGAGUCGAGACAAUCUUGAAUAGGUUGUUUACUGGCGAAGUGAAAGCAGCAGCACUCAAGCCCUUAGUGGUUUGAGUGCGUGGGUGAUCCAUGGACUCGUAGAGGGUUUACUCUCUCGAGCUGUGGCGCAACCCAGACGGUUAUUAACCCCCUAACAUUGGGCGGGAAAUGACCAGUCGGAGCGUACAUGAUAGGACCCGAAAGAUGGUGAUCUACGCUUGACCAAGACGAAGUCAAGGGAAACCUUGAUGGAGGUCUGUAGCGAUUCUGACGUGCAAAUCGAUCGUCUGAGUUGAGUGUAGGGGCGAAAGACUAAUCGAACCAUCUAGUAGCUGGUUCCCUCCAAAGUUUCCCUCAGGAUAGCAGGCGCUCGAUUGGGAUGAGUUGGAUCCGGUAGAGCAAAUGAUUAGAGGCCUCGGGAACGCAAUGUUCUUGACCUAUUCUCAAACUCUCAAUGGGUUCGAGUGUUUGGCGUCAAUUUUCUUAAUUGAAAGUGACCCAUUCAUCGAUGCUCAAUCAAUGAGUGCCUAGUGGGCCUGUUUUGGUAAGCAGAACUGGCGAUGUGGGAUGAACCAAAAGUUGAGUUAAGGUGUCAAAGGUGUGUUGAGCAAAGAUACGGCACUUGCUCACGGGCGAGUGUGUCGGUCAAGCAAAGACACUCAUGAGAUACCAUAAAAGGUGUAAAUUGCUAUUGACAGCAGGACGGUGGCCAUGGAAGUCGGAAUCCGCUAAGGAGUGUGUAACAACUCACCUGCCGAAGCAAUUUGCCCUGAAAAUGGAUGACGCUAUAGUGUCAAACCAAUACUCAGCCAUUCAUUGAAUUGCGCCUUCACCUCCUCAGCGAGUGAGUGCGUUGGCCGUGAUCAAUGAAUGUGUAGGAGGGCGUGUGAGUGAUGUGCGUUGAAGUUGGAAUCGCAAGAUUCAAUGGAGCCGCUCACAGUGCAGAUCUUGGUGGUAGUAGCAAAUACUCAAGUGAGAACCUUGAGGGCUGACGUGGAGAAGGGUUCCUCGUGAACAGUAAUUGAACGAGGGUAAGUCGGUCCUAAGCGGGAGCCGAAAGGCCCACCCUCAUCAUUGCAUAUUGCAUAGCGUAUACCUCUCUCGCUACUGCUGAGGCUUGCGCCAAUCUUUGCUCUCAAGACUUUAGGGUUUUGAGUGGUUAGGUUGGUGAUGCGUCUUGGCGGUAGUGUGAAAGUACAUGUGAAGCAAUAGCGGCAAAAGGGAAACAGAUUAAGAUUUCUGUACCAUGCAAGGGAGAUAGACAUGUUAGGCGAACAGUUGUGACUCGCACUGCCGAGAAACUUCACAGUAGUCUACGUGUCAAAAAGGGUAACCUAAACGAGCUCGGGGACGCUAAAUGCAGGUCGGGGAAGAGUUAUCUUUUCUUUGUAAGGUAUUACCAAAGGUGCAGUGUGUCUCGCUUCGCGCGGCGCGCUGUGUCUUUAAUAUCCUCGGAAUGAGUUCAGCUCGAGAAGAGGAGGUUAAUACCGAAAACUGUCUGCUUCUCGCAGACGGCCCGCACCCUGCCAUUUGGCCCUUGAAAACCGCCGAGUGAGUGUAUGAUAAUUUUCCUGCAUGGCCGUACCCAUAUCCGCAUCAGGUCUCCAAGGUUCAAGAACCUCUAGCUCCUUAGAUUAAUGUAGGUAAGGGAAGUCGGCAAACUAGCACCGUAACUUCGGGAGAAGGUGUGGCUCUGUCGGCUUGUCUCGACUUGGUGGACCUUAACGCGGGUGCCUCAAGUCUCGUGCCGUUUGGAGGGGGGGGCUCGUGUGGAAUCAUUUUCACUGAGUUCUCUUUGACAAUUGUGCGCAAUGAUGCGAGUGUGCUCCGGUUCACAACUAACAAGUUGAGAUGGCGAAAAGCCAAGACAGAACUGGCACGGACCAGGGGAAUCCGACUGUCUAAUUAAAACAAAGCAUUGUGAUUCAUAUUGUGAGUAUCCCGCUUCUCAUCACGCGGAGGAGGGAAACAUACUCAUGAAUGACACAAUGUGAUUUCUGCCCAGUGCUCUGAAUGUCAAUGCGAAGAAAUUCUCACAAGCGCGGGUAAACGGCGGGAGUAACUAUGACUCUCUUAAGGUAUCCAAAUGCCUCGUCAUUUAAUUGGUGACGCGCAAGAACGGAUUAACGAGAUUCCUACUGUCCCUAUCUACUUUCUAGCGAAACCACAGCCAAGGGAACGGGCUUGGGAAAAUCAGCGGGGAAAGAAGACCCUGUUGAGUUUGACUCCAGUCUUAAAUUGUGCGAUGACACGCAAAGUGUAGGAUAGGUGGGAGACUUGCCUUUCGGGGUUUGUCGCCAGUGAAAUACCACCAUUUGCGUUGUUGUCUCACUAACUUGUCAAUCAAGGACUUGAUCUAGAGCAAGGACUCUUUCACUCGGAGGAUUCUUCUUCCGUGUGUUGGAGACACCGCUCAAAUGGAUCAAACUUAAAGAAUUGACGUAUCAUGGGGUCGAGUGUCUUGCUCCUCGGAAUCCUGAGUAGGUGAGCUCCCUUUCGGGGGAUUACUUACUGGGAGGAAGGGGUGCACUGAUACUCAGCAAUGGCCUUGUACAACCUGCGGGUGUACUGACCACUUGCAAACAAGGACAGUUUGAGAUGGGGAGUUUGACUGGGGCGGUACAUCUUUAAAAGAGUAACGAAGGUGUCCUAAGGUCGGCUCAGUGAGGACAGAAACCUCACGUAGAGCAUAAGGGCAAAAGCCGGAAUCAUUCUCUUGAUUCAAUAAUGUUCACGCAUGUAAACAUUUGAACCUGGAAACAGGGGCCUAAUGAUCCUUUAGCCAAUCAGUUGAGAGCGGUCCUUUUCCUUGCUCUUCGAACGAGGAGCUACACGGGGAAAGUGACUCUGCACUCUAACGCACGAUUGAGCAAACGAUUAGUUUCAAGCUAUAGGUGUCAGAAAAAUUACCACAGGGAUAACUGGCUUGUGGCCGCCAAGCGUUCAUAGCGACGUGGCUUUUUGAUCCUUCGAUGUC